rnacentral:misc_RNA from 1 species
GAUGAAGAACGUAGCGAAAUGCGAUAAGUAAUGUGAAUUGCAGAAUUCAGUGAAUCAUCGAAUCUUUGAACGCACAUUGCGCCCCUUGGUAUUCCGAGGGGCAUGCCUGUUCGAGCGUCAUUAUAACCCCUCAAGCUCAGCUUGGUGUUGGGGCCUGCUGCACUGGCAGCCCUUAAAAUCAGUGGCGGCGCCAUCUGGCUCUAAGCGUAGUAAUUCUUCUCGCUAUGGAGUCCUGGUGGAUGCUUGCCAUCAACCCCCAAUUUUUCUAUGGUUGACCUCGGAUCAGGUAGGAAUACCCGCUGAACUUAAGCAUAUCAGCGGAGGA